rnacentral:lncRNA from 1 species
CUUAUAUGACAAUAAGCUUUCAGGAUACAUUCCAUCUUCAAUAGGAAACUUAACCGAAUUGCUUGAACUGAGUGUCAGCAAUAACCAUCUUGAUGGUGAAAUUCCUACAUCUAUUCAGAAUUGCCAGAGAUUGUUAUAUUUGAACCUUGAUAGCAACAGCCUUAGUGGCGUCAUCCCUCCACAAGUCAUGAGCCUGACCUCCUUAUCAAUUGGACUAGGCUUGUCUAACAAUCAAUUCAGCGGUGCCAUACCCAUUGAAGUAGGGAACCUGAAAAACUUGAACAAUUUCGAUCUAUCCCAUAAUAUGUUGUCAGGCAACAUCCCAAGUAGUUUGGGUGGUUGUAUUAGCUUAGAGACUCUCUACUUGCAAGGAAAUCGCUUACAACGUAUCAUUCCUUCUUCUUUGAAGUCAUUGAGAGCUAUUCAAGAGUUGGACCUUUCUUCCAAUAACUUAUCGGGUCAAAUUCCAAAAUACUUGGAACUCAUGAAUAUCACGGGUCUUUUGAAUUUGUCGCAUAACAAUUUCGAUGGUGAAGUGCCAACACACGGAAUCUUCAAGAAUACUAGCAUAAUUUCGGUCAUCGGAAAUGACAAACUAUGUGGGGGAAUUGCUGCACUUAAACUUCCGCAAUGUGACUUGACAAUACCCUCAACCAAGAGAUUGAGUCUCAAGUGGAAGAUUAUUAUAUCAACAGUUUCGAGCCUACUCUUUCUUGGCUUCAUUGCUUUGGCCUUCUUUAUCUUGUGGAUUAAAAAAAGACGAAGAAAAGAUAAAGUUCCAAAGGAUGAUUCAAAAUUACUGCAAUUAUCUUACCAAAGGCUCUACAAAGCUACAGAUGGCUUCUCCUCAGCAAAUCAGAUUGGCGUCGGUAGUUUUGGCACGGUGUACAAGGGUGUCCUUGAUGAUAUUUCUGAAAUGAGUAUCAAAAUUGCUGUGAAAGUAUUCAACCUUCAGUGUCGUGGUGCUUCCAAAAGUUUUAUGGCGGAAUGUGAAGCAUUGAAGAACAUCAGGCACAAAAACCUUGUGAAGAUAGUAACGGUAUGUUCAAGUGUUGAUCACGAAGGGAAUGAUUUCAAGGCUCUCAUUUAUGACUUCUUAGCUAAUGGAAGCUUAGAAGACUGGCUGCAUCAGCCAAUUGAAAGAAUAGAUGAGCCUACAACAAGGAUCUUGAAUUUCAUCCAGAGGCUAAAUGUUGCUAUUGAUAUAGCUUCUGCGGUGGAUUACCUUCACAACAACUGUGGAACUCCAAUUGUUCAUUGUGAUCUCAAGCCUAGUAAUGUACUUCUCGACAAGGAUAUGGUGGCGCAUGUUGGUGAUUUUGGUUUGGUAAGAUUCCUUUCAAGAGUUGAAAAUCCAUCUUCAAGUACAAUUGGUAUAAAGGGAACAGUUGGCUAUGCACCUCCAGGUAAAAAAGAAAGUUAUGUUUGCAUACCGUAAAGAUUUUAAUCAAUCCAUAUUUUCUAAUUGUUACUUUUCUCUAAUAAUAUCCUCUUGCAGAAUAUGGAAUGGGGAACGAAGUCUCGAUACAAGGUGACAUCUACAGUUAUGGUAUCCUUCUACUGGAAUUAUUUACUGGGAAGAGACCAACCAAUGAGAUUUUCAAAGACGGCUUAAGCCUUCAUAACUUUGUCAUGGACGCUUUAUCAGAACAACACACAUUCGAAGUUAUCGAUCCGGUUCUACUCAACGAACUACUUCGUAGGUUGACAACUCAUCACAACAAUACAAGUAAGAGCUUAGAUGAAGUGAGAAAGGACUUAGAGGAGGUAAUGUGUUCUAUUCUCAAAAUCGGCGUUGCUUGUUCUUUAGACAUCGCAGAAAAGAGAAUUAGUAUGGGCGAAGUUUUAUCCAGACUUACCGCCGUAAAGAAAAAGGUAUGUCCAGUUAACAGGAGGUAGAUGAAGUGAAACCGGCUCGAACAUGUGAUCAACUAAAGAAUGACGAUGUCAUGCCGGUUGUCGAGAGAGACGUCAAUAUUACUGAUUACUACCUAGUAUUGCAAAAAUAAGCACUAUGCAAUUGUAACAACAUUUUGAUUUUCAGUGUUUAGAUUUGCUGGUUGCUGCCUAUUACAGCAAUUUCAAGGCUAAUUAAAAGCUGAAUCAUCAUACUUGACACGUUAUCCAAAUGCAGAGGCUUUGGUUCUUGUUCGAGUUGAAUGUCUGUAUUAUUACCCCAAAAUCUUUAUACGGUUGCAAUAAUUUAUCAAAGUCAUUACUUAAGUUGUCAAUAUAUACAAUUUAACUUGAGAAUAAUAAAUAAAUAAAAUUAAAAGACAUGGAUUUUUUAUCUUAUUAUGGAUUUUUCGUUUUGGAUUUUAGUUCUGGUUUAUUAAUUGAUGUGUUUCCUCUCUUUCAAAAUGAACUUCACUAAUAACAGUGCUUAAUUAAGCUUUACUAACUAUCCAUCACAAUGUCGAAGUUGCAGAGUUGCCGAGUUGUCUCUUAAAGGAGAGUUUUAACCCUAAAUCCUUUCAUCGCCGCCACCGCCGCCAUGACACCACGACCCCUCCGACAUCUCACAAGCCAUUCACGGACACAAACGCCAAAGCCACCAGAUCUAUCACCACGGCAUUCACAACUCGGCCGUCGCAAAUUCGUCUAAAAAACUAUCCAUCACAAUCUUAAGCACUGUUAUUAAAAAAUCACGACAAUGACACAAAAUAAUGGUCCUAGGAACUUGCAAUUCUAUAAUUGAUCCUAUUCAUAACCCGACUCGGCGUGUUUUACGGUUAUAUAUAUAAAAGUCUAUUAACUAAAUUGGGUAUAUAUACCAAUAUAAAAGUCUGAUUUUGCCUGGAUAAUUCCAGAAAGACACAUGUAGUGUAGUGUAUUCAAUUUGAUUGCUUUGUAAGGCUAGAGGUUUUUGUUAUGCGCAAAGGUAUAAUCUUUGCUAUCUCCAUGAAUCAUUGAAUCAAAUUCGAGAAGUUCGUUCGAUUGUUUGUUCGACUUUAGCGGAUUUGAGGAGUGAGUAAGUGCUUUGGUGGAGUUAGAAAAUUGACAAAUGAAGUUUCGAAUUUAUAUACCAAAGCUCAACUACAUCCAAUCUUGGUCACAAAGCUAAGCUAAGGCUGUUUUUUGUCUCACAUCCAUAUCUUACCUAUUGAAUGUGUAACAUUAUGCUCACUUCAACAUUUGUUGAACAUUUUCCCAUGAAAUCUAUGGUGGCAUCCUACUCAUCCAUCUUAAUGAAACCAAGUCUCACGUUGCAUUGAUCGGUUGGGAAAAUGGUGGUUAGAAAUAUCUCCAAACUUGCAAAAUGGGAUGAAGCGUUGUCCACAGGUUUCAUUGUCUACGCAAAAGGUAAUCACAGUCCACUGAAAAUGUUCUGUACGUCAGCUAGUCAACUAACCAAGUCUUGUGGAUCCAGUUAAAAACGGUUGGAAGAAUAUUCUACAAACAGCAAGUGCAUGGUUCGUAUAUUAAGUCAGUUAUCGGCACCCUUCAUAAUAUACCAUCUCACAAUCUCAUUCAUAAUAACCAUAAGGAAAAUAAAAUGAGUUCAGGAAGCUCGAGUCACGAAUCGAAUUCGAGAAAUUUAUUCGAUUAAUUGUUAGACUUUAGCUGAUUUGAGGUGUGAGUAAGUGGUUCGGCGGAGUCAGAAAAUUGGGCAAAAAAAUUUCGAAUUCAUACACUGAAGAUCAAUUACAUUAUCAUGAAAAAGUUACUUCAAAAUGGAACUACCUCACGAAAAAUAAUUUUAAAUAGCAAAUGAUUUGAAAUAUGAGAAACUUUAAAUAUGGAAGUUAUUGAUCAAAAUAUGAGGGACUUCAAAUAUGUCACGGGUUAAGUAAGUCAUCACAUGCAUGAAUAUACAAAGCAAGCUAAUUUGAAAUUUUUUAGCACUAACAUAACCCCACCAACAUAACAUCAAAAAAUUGAUUUUGAACUUCAUUUGACCAUUUACGGGGUUACCAUAAUGAAACUUGAAUUUUUAGUUAUUUUCAACAUGUAGGUGGAAUAUUAGCCAAUUUAUUUUUUUUUAAUUUUCAUGUCAAAAUUGUCAAUAUUAAUGGGUUAUAACACAUGGAAAUUGACAAUUUUCGCAUGGAAAUUUCAAAUUUUCAAAUCAACUAGUAAUUGAAAUGCAUGUUGAAAAUGACUAAAAUUUUGUCACUAUGUAAUACAUUAAAAUCUUUAAAAAUGAAGAAGUAGAUUACAUUCGAGUUUUAUCUAGUACCAUCCUUAGCCGUUUUUUGGUUGUGGAAUUGGUUGGAAAAUGGUGGUUAGAAAUAUCUCCAACUUUGUCCACAAGAUUUCACUGUCUAUGUGAGUAAUCGAUAAGUUAGUCUUUUGGAUCAAUCAAGUCAAGUCCCUCCCAAAACCAAUCAAGAUGAAGAAAAUGAGUUACGGGAGUUUGAGGGAACAUAGUGGCAAUUCAGUCAUCGUUUGGGGCAUAUGUGGUGUCAUCGUAACGAACCGUAUUAAUUCGAUGGUCCAGAUUGUCUUAAUGGUACUCACCACCGUUGGGAUCAAACUUGGGUUUCUUGUCUCGGUUAUGUGAGCUAGUCGAUUAAUGAAGUCUUGUGGAUCAAGCCAAGAAUGGUUGGAAGAAGAUACACAGGCAAGUGGUUUGUGUAUGAGCCUUUCCAACUUCUAUAAUAAGUGAAGAGUUAUUAGCAGCAUUCUUAAUACCAUCUCAAAAUCUCAUUCAUAAUACUCAAAAGGAAAGAAAGCAAAUAGAAAUCAAGAAAAAAUGAGUUUAGAGAGUUUGAUCAGUGUGUAUAAUGUGGUAACAUUACUUGUUCAACUGAUGUGCCUUUGCAGUGUUGCUUCUUCCUCGGGCAUUCUGUUGAGGAACGAGACCGAUCGUCUCGCUUUGUUAGAGUUCAAGACCAUGAUUACUUCUGAUCCUUUCGGGGUUUUGAAUUCGUGGAAUGAUUCUGUUCAUUUCUGCAAGUGGUAUGGCGUGUCUUGUUCUAAAAGACAUUAUGGCAGAGUCACUGAGUUAAAUCUGUCAUCUCACGGACUCUCCGGCUCUAUCUCGCCAUACGUUGGCAAUCUCAGCUUUCUGAAAUAUCUACGUCUCUACAACAACAGCAUGGGUGGGGAAAUACCUCCGGAAAUCGGCCGCCUUAGCAAAUUGCAUCGGUUGUCGCUUCUCAACAACUCGUUUGAUGGUAAGAUCCCAUCCAACAUCUCAGAAUGCUCUGCUCUUACUUUGUUCAGAGUAGAUAAUAAUAAGCUGGUUGGAGAACUACCAUGGAAAUUCGGUCAAUUGAGCAAACUCCAAUUGUUUGACGUAAGAUCAAACAAUCUUCACGGGAGCAUCCCUCUCAGUUUUGGGAACUUGUCAUCUCUCCACGAGUUUCAAGUAGACGAUAACCAAUUAAGUGGGAGGAUUCCGGCUACCCUAGGACGAUUGAAGAGCAUUCAGGUAUUGUCUUUAGGGCUUAAUAACUUAGUUGGUGAAAUCCCUUCUUCCAUCUUCAAUCUUUCUUCUCUCACGGAGCUGUGGUUUGGAAGUAAUCAGCUUCAUGGCAUUCUUCCUUGGAACCUUGGAUUAUUACUUCCAAAUCUUCAGAAUUUUGAUGUGGCGUUUAACCGGUUUAUUGGAAGUGUUCCACCUUCCUUAUCCAAUGCCUCCAAUUUGGUUUUACUACAACUCCAUAACAACAGUUUUAUGGGAAACAUGCCUAAUAUGGGAUUCUCUAACAAGCUUACGCAGUUCAAUAUUUUUGGCAACUCUCUCGGAAGUGGGAAGGCUAAUGAUCUGAAAUUCCUCUCUUCUUUGACCAAUGCCACAAGUUUGGAAAGAGUGGAUUUUGCGGGAAAUAAAUUUGGAGGGAGCUUACCGCAAGAUAUUGCCAACUUGUCAACCACUCUCAGGAAACUAUCCUUUUAUGACAACAAAAUAUCUGGAACUAUUCCAAGUGGGAUUCAAUACCUAGUCAACUUGGAAGUGCUUUGGGCAAAUAAUAAUAAUCUAUCAGGUCAAAUCCCAUCCGAUAUUGGUCACUUAAAGUUUCUAAAGACGGUGUACUUAUAUGACAAUAAGCUUUCAGGAUACAUUCCAUCUUCAAUAGGAAACUUAACCGAAUUGCUUGAACUGAGUGUCAGCAAUAACCAUCUUGAUGGUGAAAUUCCUACAUCUAUUCAGAAUUGCCAGAGAUUGUUAUAUUUGAACCUUGAUAGCAACAGCCUUAGUGGCGUCAUCCCUCCACAAGUCAUGAGCCUGACCUCCUUAUCAAUUGGACUAGGCUUGUCUAACAAUCAAUUCAGCGGUGCCAUACCCAUUGAAGUAGGGAACCUGAAAAACUUGAACAAUUUCGAUC